rnacentral:rRNA from 1 species
GCCAGCGGCCAUACUGCGUCGAAUACACCGGAUCCCAUCCGAACUCCGAAGUAAGCGGCGCA